rnacentral:rRNA from 1 species
UGGGGAAUAUUGGACAAUGGGGGCAACCCUGAUCCAGCAAUGCCGCGUGAGUGAUGAAGGCCUUAGGGUUGUAAAGCUCUUUCGCACGCGACGAUGAUGACGGUAGCGUGAGAAGAAGCCCCGGCUAACUUCGUGCCAGCAGCCGCGGUAAUACGAAGGGGGCGAGCGUUGUUCGGAGUUACUGGGCGUAAAGGGCGCGUAGGCGGCCCGAUCAGUCAGAUGUGAAAGCCCCGGGCUCAACCUGGGAACUGCAUUUGAUACUGUCGGGCUUGAGUUCCGGAGAGGAUGGUUGAAUUCCCAGUGUAGAGGUGAAAUUCGUAGAUAUUGGGAAGAACACCGGUGGCGAAGGCGGCCAUCUGGACGGACACUGACGCUGAGGCGCGAAAGCGUGGGGAGCAAACA